GUGGGGAAUAUUGGACAAUGGGCGAAAGCCUGAUCCAGCCAUGCCGCGUGUGUGAAGAAGGUCUUCGGAUUGUAAAGCACUUUAAGUUGGGAGGAAGGGCAGUAAGUUAAUACCUUGCUGUUUUGACGUUACCGACAGAAUAAGCACCGGCUAACUUCGUGCCAGCAGCCGCGGUAAUACGAAGGGUGCAAGCGUUAAUCGGAAUUACUGGGCGUAAAGCGCGCGUAGGUGGUUUUGUAAGUUGGAGGUGAAAUCCCCGGGCUCAACCUGGGAACUGCCUCAAAAACUGCAUGACUAGAGUACGGUAGAGGGUAGUGGAAUUUCCUGUGUAGCGGUAAAAUGCGUAGAUAUAGGAAGGAACACCAGUGGCGAAGGCGACUACCUGGACUGAUACUGACACUGAGGUGCGAAAGCGUGGGGAGCAAACAGGAUUAGAUACCCCGGUAGUCC
rnacentral:rRNA from 1 species